rnacentral:rRNA from 1 species
GAUGAACGCUGGCGGCGUGCCUAAUACAUGCAAGUCGAACGAAGAUCUAGCUUGCUAGAUCUUAGUGGCGAACGGGUGAGUAAUACAUAAAUAAUCUGCCCAUAUGACUGGGAUAACUAUUGGAAACGAUAGCUAAUACCGGAUAGGUUGAUUGGAGGCAUCUCUGAUUAAUUAAAGUAGGAUUUCUACACAAAUGGAUGAGUUUAUGGCGCAGUAGUUAGUUGGUGGGGUAACGGCCUACCAAGACGAUGAUGCGUAGCCGACCUGAGAGGGUGACCGGCCACACUGGGACUGAGACACGGCCUAGACUCCUACGGGAGGCAGCAGUAGGGAAUUUUCGGCAAUGGGCGCAAGCCUGACCGAGCAACGCCGCGUGAGUGAUUAAGGCCUUCGGGUUGUAAAGCUCUGUUGUAAGGGAAGAACAUUCAGGAUAGGAAAUGAUCUUGAACUGACGGUACCUUACCAGAAAGCCACGGCUAACUACGUGCCAGCCGCCGCGGUAA